rnacentral:rRNA from 1 species
ACUCCUACGGGAGGCAGCAGUGAGGAAUAUUGCACAAUGGGGGGAACCCUGAUGCAGCAACGCCGCGUGGAGGAUGACGCAUUUCGGUGUGUAAACUCCUUUUAUCAGAGAAGAAGAUGACGGUAUCUGAUGAAUAAGCUCCGGCUAACUCCGUGCCAGCAGCCGCGGUAAUACGGAGGGAGCAAGCGUUAUUCGGAAUCACUGGGCGUAAAGGACGCGUAGGCGGGUUUGUAAGUCAGGUGUGAAAUCCUACAGCUCAACUGUAGAACGGCACUUGAAACUACAGACCUAGAGUAUGGAAGGGGCAGAUGGAAUUAGUGGUGUAGGGGUAAAAUCCGUAGAUAUCACUAGGAAUACCGAAAGCGAAGGCGAUCUGCUGGGACAUUACUGACGCUGAGGCGUGAAAGCGUGGGGAGCAAACAGGAUUAGAUACCCUGGUAGUCCACGCCCUAAACGAUGAACACUAGUCGUCGGGGUACAAGUUACUUCGGUGAUGCACUUAACAGAUUAAGUGCUCCGCCUGGGGAGUACGGUCGCAAGAUUAAAACUCAAAGGAAUAGACGGGGACCCGCACAAGUGGUGGAGCAUGUGGUUUAAUUCGAAGAUACGCGAAGAACCUUACCUAGCCUUGACAUAUUUGAGAAUCUUCCAGAGAUGGAGGAGUGCCUUCGGGAAUUCAUAUACAGGUGCUGCACGGCUGUCGUCAGCUCGUGUCGUGAGAUGUUGGGUUAAGUCCCGCAACGAGCGCAACCCUCGUCACUAGUUACUAACGGUUCGGCCGAGGACUCUAGUGAGACUGCCUUCGCAAGGAGGAGGAAGGUGAGGACGACGCCAGUCAUCAUGGCCCUUACGGCUAGGGCAACACACGUGCUACAAUGGCCAGGACAAUGAGAAGCGAUACCGCGAGGUGGAGCAAAUCUAUAAACCUGGUCUCAGUUCG